GAUGAACGCUGGCGGCGUGCCUAAUACAUGCAAGUCGAGCGAACAGAUAAGGAGCUUGCUCCUUUGACGUUAGCGGCGGACAGGUGAGUAACACGUGGGUAACCUACCUAUAAGACUGGAAUAACUCCGGGAAACCGGGGCUAAUGCCGGAUAACAUUUAGAACCGCAUGGUUCUAAAGUGAAAGAUGGUUUUGCUAUCACUUAUAGAUGGACCCGCGCCGUAUUAGCUAGUUGGUAAGGUAACGGCUUACCAAGGCAACGAUACGUAGCCGACCUGAGAGGGUGAUCGGCCACACUGGAACUGAGACACGGUCCAGACUCCUACGGGAGGCAGCAGUAGGGAAUCUUCCGCAAUGGGCGAAAGCCUGACGGAGCAACGCCGCGUGAGUGAUGAAGGUCUUCGGAUCGUAAAACUCUGUUAUUAGGGAAGAACAAAUGUGUAAGUAACUGUGCACGUCUUGACGGUACCUAAUCAGAAAGCCACGGCUAACUACGUG
rnacentral:rRNA from 1 species